UACGUAGGGCGCAAGCGUUGUCCGGAAUUAUUGGGCGUAAAGCGCACGUAGGCGGCAUAGCAAGUCUGAUGUGAAAUCCCUCAGCUUAACCAAGGAAGUGCAUCGGAAACUGCUGUGCUUGAGUACGAAAGAGGAUCGCGGAAUUCCCGGUGUAGAGGUGAAAUUCGUAGAUAUCGGGAGGAACACCAGUGGCGAAGGCGGCGAUCUGGGUCGAUACUGACGCUGAGGUGCGAAAGCGUGGGGAGCAAACAGG
rnacentral:rRNA from 1 species